CCGAAGUUAGCUCAGUGGUGGAGCACAUGGCUGAUAACCAUGAGGCCGCACGUUCGAGUCGUGCACUUCGGACCA
rnacentral:tRNA from 1 species